GAGGUACUCCCUCCGUUCCGAAUUACUCGUCGCAUGUAUGGAUGUAUCUAGAACUAAAAUACAUCUAGAUACAUCCAUACGUGCGACAAGUAAUUCGGAACGGAGGGAGUAGAAG
rfam:Triticum aestivum genome assembly, contig: Triticum_aestivum_CS42_TGACv1_scaffold_547668_6DS